AUAUCCGUUACAAUGUUGAAGCUUCCCCCUUUAAGGAAGAUGACGAGAGCUCAGUUGAUAUUUAUGAUGGCUUGGACAGCGGUUUAACAGUUCCUGACAAUUCUGCUCCAAGUUCUACACCAACUGGAAACAGUUUAAACUUAUUUGAUG
rnacentral:lncRNA from 1 species